CAAAUUUCCCAAUCCGUACAAAUUUCCCCGGAUUUUUUAGCUUUGGUUUAUUCUUCUAAAACCCUAUUUCACGUCCAGCCACCGCCACCCUCCCAUUUCCGGCCCGGCACGAGAGCAUAUACUUCUCAAACUGGUUGAAAGAAUUGAGUUAGAGCUAACCUAGAGAUAGCAAUGGGGGAAGAGCAAAAAGACCCUUUUAAGGGAGUGGACUGGAAAGCCGUCGGUGGGGAUAUGCAAAAAGAAAACAUUAUAAAGAAAAGGCGUCCAACAAAAAUUAGACAAAUUCCAGAUCAUUAUUUUCUUCCUAGAAGAUCCCUUCCUUCUGCCAUUGCAUUAUAUGGGGCGUGUAUUGCAGGUGGCAUUGGUGUUGGUAUGCUGAUGGAGAUCUGGAUAAAUGAUAAAGUUAAAAAGGAUGGAGGUGUUAUCUGGGAGUUCGACAAGUAGAGUACAAGAGUAGUGUAUUAUUCAAGCAGAACAAGAUAAUCAAGUUGCUGGGUUUUGUUUUAUUAAUCCUAGUUUUGGCACGCAUUAAGUGAACAUUUUUUAAUGCCUCUAGGAAUUGUACAAAAAUUGGAAGCAAUAACUUGUUUUUUAUAACCUCCAAUUCAGCUAUUGGUUGUUUCUCUGAUUACAGAUCAAGCACAACUGACAAUAAAUGCAAUCAUUUUUGGUAUAAACCUUGCACAGAUUGCUGCUUUGCUCUGCUAAAGC